rnacentral:lncRNA from 1 species
UUUCAAAUUGCUUGAAAUUAUACAUUGCGUGUUAAGCUUUAAUGAACAGCAUAUUGUCAUAUUCCCCAAAUUCCAAUUAUAUUCCACAUUUGAGGAAAUUGGAAUAUCUAAAAGCUUAAAAGAAGAAUAAAAAAUCCAUGUUUGUCAUCCUUGUAGUGAGUAGCAAAUUAAUGAAAAUACAACCAUCCUUAAUUGAGAAAUGAAGAGUAAUCUUUGAUUAUCAUCAAGAAAUUGCCUAAAAUCUCCCAUGUCAAUGUCAAAAACAAAAAAAGAAAAAGAAAAUAUAUAUGUACAAUUACAAAACAAUGUUUAAGUACGAAUAAAUUAAGCAGAAUCCCAUACAAAUGGGGCCUAUAGAUGACUCUGAAAAUGUGCCCGCAAUGAAUAUAGAGGGGGAAGGGUUGGUUUUGCAGCAAAUGCAAAGCCCCACUCUUAUAUGAUGUUUCCCCAUAGAUUAACUCCUUCAAGUCCUUUUUUUUUUUAAUUUCCUUUCCUUUCCAAUUUUUUUGUUUCUUCUUUUUUUCCCCCUUAGGCUGCUAUUCCUUUUCUUGUGACUGACAUUAACACUUGAAAGAAGAGAUGCAUGCCAAUGAACUUAAUUUCAAAGACUCUCAUAAAUUUUAGCACCAUCCACCACCUCCUUCCUUACUGACAUUAUCAUCAUUUUUUUUUUCUAUCUAUCCCUCUUGCUUCUUUAUUUUCUUCAUUUCUCGUAUUUUAAUUCGAAUCCAUCUUCUCUUGCCAUUUUCCUCUCCAAGAAAAGGGGUUAUUGUUUGAAUUUAUAUUGAUAACAACCACAAGUGGUAGAGUUUGAUAUAUAGUUGAUUUUUUAAUAUAUAAAGAAAGCAACAGCUUGAGAAUAUAGAAAAAGGAUAUAGGUGUUGAAAUUUGAAUAUUAGAUUUGUUGAAUG